rnacentral:rRNA from 1 species
UACAGAGGGUGCGAGCGUUGUCCGGAUUUAUUGGGCGUAAAGAGCGUGUAGGCGGCCGUACAGGUCAGCUGUGAAAACUCGAGGCUCAACCUCGAGACGUCGGUUGAAACCGUACGGCUAGAGUCCGGAAGAGGAGAGUGGAAUUCCCGGUGUAGCGGUGAAAUGCGCAGAUAUCGGGAAGAACACCCGUGGCGAAGGCGGCCAACUGGACGAAUACUGACGCUGAGACUCGAAAGCGUGGGGAGCAAACAGG